UACGUAGGGUGCAAGCGUUGUCCGGAAUUAUUGGGCGUAAAGAGCUCGUAGGCGGUCUGUCGCGUCGGCUGUGAAAACCCGAGGCUCAACCUCGGGCCUGCAGUCGAUACGGGCAUGACUGGAGUUCGGCAGGGGAGACUGGAAUUCCUGGUGUAGCGGUGAAAUGCGCAGAUAUCAGGAGGAACACCGGUGGCGAAGGCGGGUCUCUGGGCCGAUACUGACGCUGAGGAGCGAAAGCGUGGGGAGCGAACAGG
rnacentral:rRNA from 1 species